GAUAGAGUAAACCCGUCUCUGUGGCAAAAGAGUGGGAAGACCAUGCAGUAGAGGUGAAAAGCCAAACGAACCUAGUGAUAGCUGGUUGCUCAAUAAAAGAAUCUAAGUUCAACUUUAGGCUAUACAAGACCAAAUAUUAUCCACAAACAGCCUAAAAGAUAUUCAAUGAGGGUACAGCUUCAUUGAAACAGGAUACAACCUUUGCUAGAGAGAAAGACCACUAAACACACCAUCCAGUGGGCUCUAAAGCAGCCACCAACAACCCAAGGCGUCACAGCAUCAAAACAAUAAAUACCACCAACACCCCCAAUCUCCUACAUUAACACCGAGCCACCCUAUAAAUAUAGGCAAACUAAUGCUAAAACUAGUAACAAGAAACUUUCUCUUACAGCACAUCCUUGACCCAGAAAUAGAAAACCUGCUGGACAUUAACCAGACCAAAACAGGAAUUACACCACAAACUUGUUCUAAGAAACUGUCAAUCCAACACCGGAGUGCUAUAAAGACAGAUUAAAAGUUAUAUAAGGAACUCAGCAAAACUUGUCCCAACUGUUUACCAAAAACAUAGCCUUUAGCUAAACAAGUAUUAAAGGUCUCGCCUGCCCAGUG
rnacentral:rRNA from 1 species